rnacentral:rRNA from 1 species
CUGCUGCCUUCCGUAGGAGUCUGGGCCGUGUCUCAGUCCCAGUGUGGGGGGCCUUCCUCUCAGAACCCCUACGCAUCGUCGCCACGGUGGGCCGUCACCCCGCCGUCUAGCUAAUGCGCCGCAUGCCCAUCCGCCCACCGGAUCGCUCCUUUGGCCACCGGAGGAUGCCCUCCGGUGGCGUCACGGGGUAUUAGGCCGCGUUUCCGCGGGUUAUCCCCCUGUGGCGGCCAGGUUGCAUACGUGUUACUCACCCGUGCGCCGGUCGCCGGCGGG